UACGGAGGGGGCUAGCGUUGUUCGGAAUUACUGGGCGUAAAGCGCGCGUAGGCGGAUCUGCAAGUCGGGGGUGAAAUCCCGAGGCUCAACCUCGGAACUGCCUUCGAUACUGCGGGUCUCGAGUCCGGGAGAGGUGAGUGGAAUUCCUAGUGUAGAGGUGAAAUUCGUAGAUAUUAGGAAGAACACCAGUGGCGAAGGCGGCUCACUGGCCCGGUACUGACGCUGAGGCGCGAAAGCGUGGGGAGCAACAGGGAGUU
rnacentral:rRNA from 1 species